UGGGCGUAAGGGCUCGCAGGCGGUUUCUUAAGUCUGAUGUGAAAGCCCCCGGCUCAACCGGGGAGGGUCAUUGGAAACUGGGGAACUUGAGUGCAGAAGAGGAGAGUGGAAUUCCACGUGUAGCGGUGAAAUGCGUAGAGAUGUGGAGGAACACCAGUGGCGAAGGCGACUCUCUGGUCUGUAACUGACGCUGAGGAGCGAAAGCGUGGGGAGCGAACAGGAUUAGAUACCCUGGUAGUCCACGCCGUAAACGAUGAGUGCUAAGUGUUAGGGGGUUUCCGCCCCUUAGUGCUGCAGCUAACGCAUUAAGCACUCCGCCUGGGGAGUACGGUCGCAAGACUGAAACUCAAAGGAAUUGACGGGGGCCCGCACAAGCGGUGGAGCAUGUGGUUUAAUUCGAAGCAACGCGAAGAACCUUACCAGGUCUUGACAUCCUCUGACAAUCCUAGAGAUAGGACGUCCCCUUCGGGGGCAGAGUGACAGGUGGUGCAUGGUUGUCGUCAGCUCGUGUCGUGAGAUGUUGGGUUAAGUCCCGCAACGAGCGCAACCCUUGAUCUUAGUUGCCAGCAUUCAGUUGGGCACUC
rnacentral:rRNA from 1 species